rnacentral:lncRNA from 1 species
UUGUACUAUAGCUAAUUCAUCUUCAAGUGGAAGAUUGAGUUUUUACACAUACAAAAAAGACUCAAUACUGAGGCAAAGGCAGAGUCUUGUUCGAUUCAGAAUUCGGGCUUCAACUGAUGAUUCUGAUUGCAAUGCUGAAGAAUGUGCCCCUGAGAAAGAGGUCUUUUUUCCUCUUUGCUUUUCUUGAAUUUGUGUAGUUCAAUUUUCUUGUUGGAUUUGUGUUUUGGGUUUAUAUUUAUGUUGAAAAAAAGGAAGUGGGUAUGUACAAUCUUGAUUAAAGGAACUGUCUUGGAUAAUAAUUAUGGCUACUUCUGAGUAGUAUUUCGGGAAAGAAACAAUUUUUUUCCUGCUGCAAUUAUAGACUACUUUAAUUAAAAAUGGAGUCAAAGAUUUUGAGCUGCACAAACAGCCUCUUGCAGAAAUAGAGGGUGUAUAGACCCUUAUGGUCCGACCCUUCCCGGACCAGUGCAUAGCGGGAACUUAGCGCACUGGGCUGCUCCUAGUCUUUGAGUUAAAAGCAUGUUAACUCAUGUUUCCGGAGUGAGUAAAGUUACCGCCUGUAGAGUGCAAAUACUAUGGUCUUUAGAGUGAGUUUGUGAAAGGAGCAAACUUGGGAGUGUGUGAUGCGAAAGCAUGUUCAAAAAUAUCGCAGAAUCACAAAUGACUUUAAGUUAACCUCUGAUUUUUCAUCGUCUUUAGUUUCAUAUGCACUUCUAUUCAGCCUCAUAUUUUCUCUAUGAUGGCAGCAUUGAAUACAAUUUUAGGCGUUUUUCAUAUUGACUGUGUGUCAUUGCUAAAAGUUUCAGAUUUCGCAAUGGACUUACUUAUCAUAUGUACCUAGACAUGGCUUAAAACUUGUCACAAGUUCUUAACUUCUGUUGCAAUUGGUAGUUGGUUCCAACAUUGCGACAAGGUUUUGUUGUAUUGGUCUGUUUGGGGUGUAUUCUAUCGUUGCAGAGCGCUUGACUUUCAGAUACUGCUCACUAUGAGAUAUCACCUUAUUUUGCCAGCAAUUUAUGUUUUCUCAACGCAUCAAAUGUAUAUUUCCUGAUUCGCAAACGAGCUUAAGCCCUUAGCUCAGGCACAAAUUGUCGCUAUGCGGUCAAAUUGUUAUUUCAGACAUUAAUAUCUAAAAGAAUUAGUAUCCAGCUUAGCUACUUCAAGGACACGUUAUAGCGCAGCUAUGAGGCUCAGGAAAAAAAUACUAAUAGAUUUGCUCAACAGGCUUCUCAUGACCUCACUGUCAAGCCAUUUUUUACUAGUGUAACUAUGCCUAUACACUUUAUGUGGUAAUUUUGAGUGAGUUUGUUCCUCAGCCCUUACUUCUUAGCUUUUUAAAACUCUAGUAGAUCAGUAUUGCACGUUAUACUGUUCAGUAAGAUAGUAGUUCACACUGGAAAAUAUUGUGAUACACUUUGUGUAUUGGAUAUAUACAGGUGGGGAAGGUGAGCAUGGAAUGGGUAGCUGGGGACAACACCAGAGUGGUUGGGACAUUUCCACCUCGUAAGCCGCGUGGCUGGACAGGGUAUGUUGAGAAGGAUACUGCUGG